UAGAGGGUCGACGGUCUACUGUAAUCCGUAGAGGGUCGACGGUCUACUGUAAUCCGUAGAGGGUCGACGGUCUACUGUAAUCCGUAGAGGGCCGACGGUCGACUGUAAUCCGUAGAGGGUCGACGGUCGACUGUAAUCCGUAGAGGGUCGACGGUCGACUGUAAUCCGGAUAGGGUCGACGGUCCACUGUAAUCCGGAGAGGGUCGACGGUCUACUGUAAUCCGGAGAGGGUCGACGGUCUACUGUAAUCCGGAGAGGGUCGACGGUCUACUGUAAUCCGUAGAGGGUCGACGGUCUACUGUAAUCCGUAGAGGGUCGACGGUCUACUGUAAAUCCGUAGAGGGUCGACGGUCUACUGUAAUCCGUAGAGGGUCGACGGUCUACUGUAAUCCGUAGAGGGUCGACGGUCUACUGUAAUCCGUAGAGGGUCGACGGUCUACUGUAAUCCGGAUAGGGUCGACGGUCUACUGUAAAACGUAGAGGGUUGACAGAUGUAAGAGAUACAGAUGUUUUGUAAGUCACAUGUUGUUAAUCGAUGAUGUUUCUGACUAACUGAGCAGCCAGACACGGAGCAGAAAGACGAGGAGGAGGAGGAGGAGGAGAGCAGGCCGUCUAUGGAUCUGUUCAAGGCCAUCUUCGCCAGUUCAUCAGACGAGAAGUCUUCCUCUUCUUCUGAAGGAGAGAGUGAGGAGGAGGAGGAGGAGAAGGAGGAAGGUGUUCGGAGCAAGGCUGGGACUGGGCCUCAGAUAUCUAACCAGUUGAAUGUCAACACAACCCAGCCUGCUCCUCCUGUGUCGACUACACCCAGCCAGAACCCAGACGUUGUGUUCAAAAUGCCUAGUGGUCCUGCCGCUGCCCCUCCCCCUCGGGACCAGGAAAUGGAAGAGGAGGAGUUUGGACCUCGGCUGCCUCCUCCUUCCUCUACAUUGACAGCGGAGCGCCGUCCGUCCCCGACUCCCUCUGCUAAGGACGACAAGCACAAGAAGAAGUGUAAGGAGAAGCACAAAGCCAAGAAACACGGCAAGCACAAGAAGGACAAGAAGAAGAAGAAGAACAAGAGGCACAAGCACAAAGGCAAGCAGAAGAAGAGCAGUAGGAAGGAGGAGUCAUCAGACAGCAGCUCAGAGGGGAGUGACGGGAACAGCCAGGAGGACGGAGAGGAGGGGGGAGGGGUAUCAACAGAAGAGCUGCUCAGAAGGUUGAAGGGCAUCCGUGGGAAGAAUCUGCAGUGAAUCUGUGAUCCGACAGACAACAGGAUGUCCUCUAUGAGGACAGAUAUCUGGAGACGGGAACCAUUCUGUAUGAAUUCCAAUAGCCCUGUAGUUAUGAUGCUGAUGAAAGUCUUACUUUACAUUUUAAAUUGUAAUUCUGAUGAGAUGUGAGUUUUUUUUUUGCUGAUCUCGGACUGAUAUGUGGAGAGAGGUCUAUCAUCUGUUAAUCAAUAAAAAUGUGAGAUUUUGUUGUUGUUGCUGUCUCUGUUAUUAUCGUGUUUUUCCAGAAAGACAACCAUCUCUACAGCAUUCUACCAUAAAGUCCUGUUUUGGUGGAGUGGCCAGAUGGAAGCCACUCCUCAGUAAAAGGCACAUGACGGCCCGCUUGGAGUUUUGCCAAAAGGCAC
ensembl:lncRNA